rnacentral:rRNA from 1 species
AUGACGAAGCUUCGAAUGGUGCUUGCUCGCAGAUCUGGUGAUUUGUCGAGUCUUGGUGUUCUUCGUUCGAGUUCUUCGGCAGCAACUUUUCCGGUGUCUCAUUCCUCUGGGUGCUGGUGGUCAUUUUGGGCCUAUGCAUUGAUAACUUCCCAGCUGCGUGAUCAACAAUGGUUAGCCCGGCUCUGGCGAUGGAGGGGCGGCAGCGGCACGCCAUCGGCACGCUCCAACGGAAGGGGAUGGCUGAGCAUCCAGGGUCCAUGUUGUAAUUUUUAUCUUUUCAGGGGGUUCUUUGUGAUGUUGUUUGCUGAUGAAUAG